UGUCAAGCAAGUUAAGAAACUGUAAACGAAGCCUUGCUGCAGCUUUGGAUCAAGCAGCAGAUGUUUCUGAUUUAUCAUCGUCGUCUCCAAACAACUGCAGCCUGAUUACAACAUCACAGGAUGACACGAAUGAGGACUUUCAGUGGCGCACACGGUCUGCAAAACUUCAAGAUCUUCAUGGGCUCCUCGAUGUACAGACCUUGGAGGAUCUUGUGGCAAAGCUGGAGUUUGAAAAUGAGCUGAACCGCGUCUACAGUAGAUUCCUGCAAAGUCAAAACCAAGAGCAUGGAGAGAACACAGAAAGUGUGAAUAGUGAUGUGGAAGAGGGAAGUGCAGGCCGCUGGGUUCACGAUAGUAAGGAGGAAUAUUCCUUCUUGUUAGACGUGAUUCUUGAGAUAGAGCGGGACAAUGACUUCACUGCUGACUGUGAUGUCAGUGCUUUGGAGCGGGAUUUACAGUUAUCAUCAUAGUUUUGGUGCCCUCAACUAUUUUAUAUAUUUCAAAACACAAUAUGAGCUACUAAAAACUUCUGGCUACUUGGAAAGUUGUACAGAUGUAUGUUUGUAUAGCAGAGUUUAUAGCAAUACAGUAUAUGCAUGACUUUCUUAAUUACUACUUGUGUAAAUUAAUUCAUUUCUGCAAUAGGAAUCAAUAUCAAUAAAAGAUUAAUAAUCACCCCAUUGAUUCUAAAAGACAUGUAAUCUAUUUUAAUAAAACAUUGCUCUGUUUAAAUUACACAGAAAAAACUGCAUUAUCUGCCUUUCUCUGAACAAAAAACAGAUGACAGAACUGGUGGUAAAAUAUUAUAUAUUUGUUCAGAUAUAUUGCUAUUGAUCUAAGUUUUAAUUUGUUUUUGUUUUUAUGUCUAUAUAUAUUAGACUGAAUAAAAUAGUAGAAAUACUACUAGUGGUCUAUACUGUUCAAAAUGUUCUUUAUUUGCUUGUUAUAAUUUCUGUUUGAUGACUAAAUAAACAGUGUUUUUGUUUAUAAUAGUAAAAACAUUACUAUUAAUCUAAAUCCUUUUACAUGUUUUAAUUUGUUCUAAUAUCUUUAUACUUAUAACACUGAAUAAAAUAUUUACAG